UACGAAGGGGGCUAGCGUUGCUCGGAAUCACUGGGCGUAAAGCGCACGUAGGCGGCUUUCUAAGUCAGGGGUGAAAUCCUGGAGCUCAACUCCAGAACUGCCUUUGAUACUGGAGAGCUUGAGUCCGGAAGAGGUGAGUGGAACUCCGAGUGUAGAGGGUGAAAUUCGUAGAUAUUCGGAAGAACACCAGUGGCGAAGGCGGCUCACUGGUCCGGUACUGACGCUGAGGUGCGAAAGCGUGGGGAGCAAACAGG
rnacentral:rRNA from 1 species